rnacentral:rRNA from 1 species
GGUGAACGCUGGCGGCGUGCUUAAGACAUGCAAGUCGAACGGCAGUCUUCGGACUGUAGUGGCGCACGGGUGAGUAACGCGUAACUGACCUACCCCAAAGUCGCGGAUAACGAUUCGAAAGAAUCGCUAAUACGUGAUGUGCUGUCAGAUUGUGUUCUGCCAGUAAAGAUUGAUUGCUUUGGGAUGGGGUUGCGUUCCAUCAGCUAGUUGGUGGGGUAAAGGCCCACCAAGGCGACGACGGAUAGCCGGCCUGAGAGGGUGGCCGGCCACAGGGGCGCUGAGACACGGGUCCCACUCCUACGGGAGGCAGCAGUUAGGAAUCUUCCACAAUGGGCGAAAGCCUGAUGGAGCGACGCCGCGUGAGGGAUGAAGGUCUUCGGAUCGUAAACCUCUGAAUCAGGGACGAAAGACACUUCGGUGGGAUGACGGUACCUGAGCAAUAGCACCGGCUAACUCCGUGCCAGCAGCCGCCGUAAUAC